CAUCCUCUUCUCUAGUUCUCUCCCCUUCCAGCGGCGAUGACGAGAGCCACGAGACCCCGGCUAACCGGCGGCGUCUCCCGCGCAAACCUAAAACAAACGCCCUAGAUAUCCCGCGAAGCGCCGCCGCCCAAGAAGCUUCCGCCUCCCACCCGCCGGGUCUCCGUCGUGUCGCCUCGCUUCUGAUUUCGACGCACGCAGCUAGGUUGUGAUGCAGUCUGCAUUGUUCCUGGAGCCGCAGCAGCGGAUGCGGAUGCAGUAACUUGCGUUGCUCCCAGGUGGCCUUCCGAUAAGAAGGCGGUUGGACGCGCAAUUCAUUUGAAAUCUCCUUCUAGCAUAACAACCUGAUUCAAGCCCAAACGGGAAAGGAAUGUUUGUGCUGCCACAUGAUCUAGAACAGUUCACUUUUGGGGCCCGGCGGCAUGCUCGUCAGCCAAGCGAAGCACAUCAACACAGAUUCGUCUGAAAGGGGGAAAAGGUUGUUUCAUUUGGUCAUGGAUUCAUGAGAAUAACACAAGAUUGAUGUGAUGGCCAAUUGCGUGGGUAGCAAACUUGUGGUCAAAAGUCUUGCCGUCUCGGUCAAUCCAGGAUCAAAGAUUUGUACAUACUGUGAUGAGCACCCUGGCUUGUAGAAUCGGUGCUGAUAAAGUGAUAGAUGGAGACGCAUCACCAUACGAAAGAUCAUAGUAACUACAGGACUGUUUGGAGUCAAGAAGACUUGCUAGGGAGAAGAACUGAGGAGGCUAAGCUAGAUCCUGUAACAGUUUCAACUGUUCAGGUAUUUCAAAUACUGCAGUUUUUUAUUCG